rnacentral:rRNA from 1 species
AUUGAACGCUGGCGGCAGGCUUAACACAUGCAAGUCGAGCGGAGCGAGGGUGCUUGCACCUUAGCUUAGCGGCGGACGGGUGAGUAAUGCUUAGGAAUCUGCCUAUUAGUGGGGGACAACAUUCCGAAAGGAAUGCUAAUACCGCAUACGCCCUACGGGGGGAAGCAGGGGAAUGUCGGAACUUGGGCUAAUAGAUGAGCCUAAGUCGGAUUAGCCAGUUGGUGGGGUAAAGGCCUACCAAGGCGACGAUCUGUAGCGGGUCUGAGAGGAUGAUCCGCCACACUGGGACUGAGACACGGCCCAGACUCCUACGGGAGGCAGCAGUGGGGAAUAUUGGACAAUGGGCGGAAGCCUGAUCCAGCCAUGCCGCGUGUGUGAAGAAGGCCUUUUGGUUGUAAAGCACUUUAAGCGAGGAGGAGGCUACCAGUAUUAAUACUACUGGAUAGUGGACGUUACUCGCAGAAUAAGCACCGGCUAACUCUGUGCCAGCAGCCGCAGUAAGAC